rnacentral:rRNA from 1 species
UUAGUAAAAGUAAAUUAACUACAAAAACUAUUUUUAUGAUUUGAAAAGUGAUCGUUGAGGUCCGUGUUGUAGUUUUGGCUUUUAAAUUGAUCUACAUGUUAGAAUAAUCUUGUAUAUAGAAAAUAAAGUAAAUUUUUUAUGGAAAACCUCAGUAGAUGUUAUUAGAAAUAUAUAAAAGUUUUAUCUAGGAAAUUGUGAAGAAGUGGAAAAUGGCGUGCCAGCAGCCGCGGUUAUACUCCUGCUUCAAGUCAAAACUUAUUUACAAAAUUGUGUUUAAAAUGUUAUAAUGAAAUUUUUUAGAAUUAUUAGGUAGAAUUUUUAUUUUAAGUAAUGACAUCACAUAAUAAACAAAAAAAUUAUAAGUUUGGACCAGGAUUAGAUACCCUGUUACUUAUAUGUAAAAGAUUUUGGAAUAGUAGUAAUUAUGAAAUUUAACGGAUUUGGCGGCAAGAUAGCCAUUUAGAGGAACCUGCCCUAUAAGCGAUGAACCACGAAUUACUCCGCUUUUUUUAGAAAUUCAGUUUGUAUACCGCUGUUGUCAGUUAGUUUCUUUAGAAAACUUUCAAAAAUGAAAAAUUCAAUGACUUCAAGUAAAGGUGCAGCUUAUAAAAAAGAGAGAGGUGGGUUACAUUUAAGAGAAUAAUAAUGGAUAAAGCUUUGAAAUAGGCUUUUGAAGGUGGAUUUAAUUGUAAAAUUUAAUUAGAUUUGAUUAGAGCUCUAUCUUGUGUACACACCGCCCGUCGCUCUCUUUUUUAAACGAGAUAAGUCGUAACAAGGUAAGUGUAAUGGAAAUUGUACUUGAAA